CGUGCCGCUCCAUCCACGGCCCGCCGGCACCACCCGCCGCGCCCGUCCCUGACAGCGACGCAGCACCCACCACGGCGGCAUCUCUGGAGAGCACCGGAUCGACCCAAUCGCCUCCAAAGAUGGAUGAUUUCUUUAUCGAUCUCAACAAUGCAGCACAGGGUGUUGGCGUUGGAGAAGUUUCUGAAUCUUCCAUGAGCGGUUCUGCUUUCAAGGUGAGGGCAACAAGGAACAAGCAAACCAACUUCUCAGCGUAUGAAGACAACAUACUCUGCAAAUCGGGGCUGGAAAUUAGCUGCGAUCCUACUGUCAACACCGGCCAGAGGAAGGAAGCCUUUUGGAUUCGUGUGCUCAAUAGAUACAAUUCCAAAUGCGGCAGCUAUCCGACGAGGACCCAAAAAUCCAUUAUGAGUCAUUGGGAUCACAUCAAGGCUGAAAUAAGCAAGUUCUCUGGAUACAUGGCUGAGAUGAUCCGUUCCAAUCCUAGUGGCAUGUCGGAUGCAGAUAAGUCAGUGGCUGCUGCUGCUGAUUUUGCUAGUGUGGAGAAGCACAAUUUCACCCUCAUGCACUG